UCUGACAAGGAUGUGGCGGGUGCCAAGGCGAGGGUCAAGAACGCCAUUCUCAAUGCCAGCUCGGGGUGUGGGGAGGUGCAGGGGUUGGGGCGUCAGCUUCUCCUCACCGGCGCCAGCGUCAGCGCUGCUGACACCACCAGGGCUGUCGAUGCCGUCAGCAACGCUGCUGUCGCUAAGGCGAUCGCAAAGGCGUUCAGUGGGAAGCUGACCGUGGCAGCGUUGGGUAAUGUCAACGCUGUGCCCUACAGCGAUUCCUUCUAAAUACUUGCUACUAAAAUUUCGAUGUAGUAUUCAUUACAGUCACGUGUCAUCACAACAUUCUUUGCAAAGUUACACAUUAGUGCAAUUUGCGCUUGAGGGGCCGUCAAUAAAAUUUUACAAUCUAAACGGAACAGCCACAACCUGAACACGCGCUGCUGGUAAAAAAUAACUCGUGUGAACGUUUCCUUGCUCAAGCGAGGCUCAGAUGACGAAGCCACUCCUGCAGCAUCGCUGCUCUGUAAAUAGACAAGAUCGACUCGUGUGGAUGUGCGAGUUGCAUAUGUUAUCCUACUAUAUACAGUAAUUUAUUAUUGA
rnacentral:lncRNA from 1 species